CCUACGGGUGGCUGCAGUGAGGAAUAUUGGUCAAUGGUCGGGAGACUGAACCAGCCAAGCCGCGUGAGGGAUGAAGGUACAGAGUAUCGUAAACCUCUUUUGUCAGGGAACAAAGGCGGGGACGUGUCCCCGGAUGAGUGUACCUGAAGAAAAAGCAUCGGGCAACUCCGUGCCAGCAGCCGCGGUAAUACGGAGGGUGCGAGCGUUAUCCGGAUUUAUUGGGUUUAAAGGGUGCGCAGGCGGUCCGUUAAGUCAGCAGGGCAAUCCCGGGGCGCAACCCCGGGCCCGCGGUUGAAACUGGCAGUCUCGAGUUGGAGAGAGGUAUGCGGAAUGCGCGGUGUAGCGGUGAAAUGCAUAGAUAUCGCGCAGAACUCCGAUUGCGAAGGCAGCAUGCCGGCUCCACACUGACGCUGAGGCACGAAAGCGUGGGUAUCGAACAGGAUUAGAUACCCCUGUAGUC
rnacentral:rRNA from 1 species